GCUGGCGGCGUGCCUAAUACAUGCAAGUCGAGCGAACAGACGAGGAGCUUGCUCCUCUGACGUUAGCGGCGGACGGGUGAGUAACACGUGGAUAACCUACCUAUAAGACUGGGAUAACUUCGGGAAACCGGAGCUAAUACCGGAUAAUAUAUUGAACCGCAUGGUUCAAUAGUGAAAGACGGUUUUGCUGUCACUUAUAGAUGGAUCCGCGCCGCAUUAGCUAGUUGGUAAGGUAACGGCUUACCAAGGCAACGAUGCGUAGCCGACCUGAGAGGGUGAUCGGCCACACUGGAACUGAGACACGGUCCAGACUCCUACGGGAGGCAGCAGUAGGGAAUCUUCCGCAAUGGGCGAAAGCCUGACGGAGCAACGCCGCGUGAGUGAUGAAGGUCUUCGGAUCGUAAAACUCUGUUAUUAGGGAAGAACAAAUGUGUAAGUAACUAUGCACGUCUUGACGGUACCUAAUCAGAAAGCCACGGCUAACUACGUGCCAGCAGCCGCGGUAAUACGUAGGUGGCAAGCGUUAUCCGGAAUUAUUGGGCGUAAAGCGCGCGUAGGCGGUUUUUUAAGUCUGAUGUGAAAGCCCACGGCUCAACCGUGGAGGGUCAUUGGAAACUGGAAAACUUGAGUGCAGAAGAGGAAAGUGGAAU
rnacentral:rRNA from 1 species